rnacentral:lncRNA from 1 species
AAUAUUAAAGAAAAGGUUAUUGUUUAUAUAAAAAGUUUUAGAUUUUCAUGUUCCAAUCUAUUUUAAAAAUAUUUAUAGAUUUAAAUUUUUGUUAAUGAGCUGUUAACAUUUUUCAAAAUAUUAAAGAAAAGGUAAUUGUUUAUAGAAAAAGUUUUAGAUUUUUACGUUCCAAUCUAUUUUAAAAAUAUUUAUAGAGUUAAAUUUUUGUUAAUGAACAGUUAGCAAUAACCGUUAGUUAUAUAAUAUAAAUCUUUCAAAAUAUUAAAAAAAGUAAUUGUUUAUAUAAAAAUAAAUAAAAUGUUUUUAAAAUUUUGAAAGAUAUAUAGGUUGUUAUUAUUAUUCCUUGAAAAGAGAACAAAACUGCGGAGUGCCCUCCACUAAAUUUUACCUUUCUUUUUCUUUUUUUUCUUUUUUUUUUUUUUUUUUUUUUUUUUUUUUNACCCCUU